UCCUGGUUAGCUCAAUUCGUAGAGCACUCCGCUGGAAAUGGAGAGGUUCCCGGUUCGAUACCAGAACCGGGCG
rnacentral:tRNA from 2 species